UACCCACUAGUAUAGGCGACGCGGGAGC
rnacentral:sRNA from 1 species